rnacentral:rRNA from 1 species
CUGGAGGUAUCAGAAGUGCGAAUGCUGACAUAAGUAACGAUAAAGCGGGUGAAAAGCCCGCUCGCCGGAAGACCAAGGGUUCCUGUCCAACGUUAAUCGGGGCAGGGUGAGUCGACCCCUAAGGCGAGGCCGAAAGGCGUAGUCGAUGGGAAACGGGUUAAUAUUCCCGUACUUGGUGUUACUGCGAAGGGGGGACGGAGAAGGCUAUGUUGGCCGGGCGACGGUUGUCCCGGUUUAAGCGUGUAGGUGUGUGUUCCAGGUAAAUCCGGUUCACUUUAACACUGAGGCGUGAUGACGAGGCACUACGGUGCUGAAGCAACAAAUGCCCUGCUUCCAGGAAAAGCCUCUAAGCAUCAGGUAACACGAAAUCGUACCCCAAACCGACACAGGUGGUCAGGUAGAGAAUACCAAGGCGCUUGAGAGAACUCGGGUGAAGGAACUAGGCAAAAUGGUGCCGUAACUUCGGGAGAAGGCACGCUGACACGUAGGUGAAGUGAUUUACUCAUGGAGCUGAAGUCAGUCGAAGAUACCAGCUGGCUGCAACUGUUUAUUAAAAACACAGCACUGUGCAAACACGAAAGUGGACGUAUACGGUGUGACGCCUGCCCGGUGCCGGAAGGUUAAUUGAUGGGGUCAGCGCAAGCGAAGCUCCUGAUCGAAGCCCCGGUAAACGGCGGCCGUAACUAUAACGGUCCUAAGGUAGCGAAAUUCCUUGUCGGGUAAGUUCCGACCUGCACGAAUGGCGUAAUGAUGGCCAGGCUGUCUCCACCCGAGACUCAGUGAAAUUGAACUCGCUGUGAAGAUGCAGUGUACCCGCGGCAAGACGGAAAGACCCCGUGAACCUUUACUAUAGCUUGACACUGAACAUUGAGCCUUGAUGUGUAG